rnacentral:rRNA from 1 species
GACGAACGCUGGCGGCGUGCCUAAUACAUGCAAGUAGAACGCUGAAGAAAGGAGCUUGCUUCUUUUGGAUGAGUUGCGAACGGGUGAGUAACGCGUAGGUAACCUGCCUUGUAGCGGGGGAUAACUAUUGGAAACGAUAGCUAAUACCGCAUAACAGCUUUUGACACAUGUUAGAAGCUUGAAAGAUGCAAUAGCAUCACUACGAGAUGGACCUGCGUUGUAUUAGCUAGUAGGUAGGGUAACGGCCUACCUAGGCGACGAUACAUAGCCGACCUGAGAGGGUGAUCGGCCACACUGGGACUGAGACACGGCCCAGACUCCUACGGGAGGCAGCAGUAGGGAAUCUUCCACAAUGGGCGCAAGCCUGAUGGAGCAACACCGCGUGAGUGAAGAAGGGUUUCGGCUCGUAAAGCUCUGUUGUUGGAGAAGAACGUGCGUGAGAGU